CCUGCCCACCCUGGACCUUCCUCCUUGGGAGCCUGAUGCAUUUUGCAGAGAAGCUGCCCUUCCCCCAACUCAGCCACCUCAGAGUGUUGGUUGUGUCCCCUGCACCUGUAACUGGGUCAUCUCUUUAUCGCCCGCACUCAGCAGAGGAAAUCAAAUGAGUGUUAAUUGAGGGCUGGGUUCGUCAGAACUACUGCUCUUUUCUGGUGUGCUUUAUUUAAGUGUAAGCCAAUCCAAGCUUACCAUGGGGUUUCCAUGUAACUGAGAGUUCCCAGUGCUUUGCGGCAGCGCUCGCCUUCAUUCCAGACAAAGCAUAAUGAGACGCAAUCUCACAUUACCUAAUCACAUGGAGGCAGCGCGGAUCACAAUGCUGUAUUUGGCAUUUCUGUGGUGCGCUCCAUCUGAGGAGCUCAAAGAGCUUAAAGAAAACCCUUUCUUUAUUUGGGAAGUAUUAUUAUCUGGGUUUUACAGAGAGAGAUACCGAGAGGUGAAGUGACCUGCUUUAAGACCACACAGCAAGACGUCUCUGGGCUGAGAGGGAGCCCAGCAGCUGACAGGCCCUCCUUGGCCAGACUUCACAGGCUCAAAACAGAAAGCUGCUCACACAGAGCCUGUCCUCACCAGGCCCCGUGGGGAACUCACGCAAGAGACGGAACUCAAUAGCAGAGACGAAAGCAGAGGGAAUUUAAAAGCAUCAGCCAGAGGAAAGGUGUGUAAAGACCUGGCUCAGCCUCAAGAGAGCAGACUGCAGGAUGCGAGUUGCGCUGACGGAACAUGAAGCCGUGAACUGUGUUCAGCAGACCAGGAGAAGGUGAACUUGAAAAAGAAGUCCCAGAUGCCCUGUGAACAACCAUUAGAAAAGCAUUGUUGGAUCAGGACUGCCGGGAAGCAGAAUUUGAUGACAGCUUUUGGGUUUGACUUGCCAGUGAGCACGUUUGGCCGGGUGUGGGGCUUCCAUGGUGUAGCUGGCCCACGGCCUUGAAUUUCUUCCAGUUUUCAAUGGGUCCACUGCAUUUCCCAAAUGGACUCUUGCAAAGGGCGUCUCACAAGCCUGUGUGUGUAAGCAUACGUGCGUGCGCACGUAGAGAACAGCCCCCUUCUUGGAUGUCCAGCCUUUAAGAUGACAUCAAAUCACCCUCAUCACCAUCCGCAAACAUGCCUUGAGCACUCAGUAUUGCAAAGCACCGUUCUAGAUGUCAUGAAGAAUGCAACAAAAUAGGGCUCCUUCUGUGGCUUUCAGAGGUUUACAGACUCAGGCAGAUAAAAUCAAUAACAUCCCAUUUCUAUCAGUCCAGUUUCUUGAUUGUAUGCCUUGGAAAUCAACUCUGGUUAAGCUGUAUUCCAGGUGGGAGGACCUGAUAAGCUUUCUUCCAGGUAAGGUGACACUAGAUGCAUGUGUCUGGAAUGCAGCUCGAGGAAGUUAGUCAUAUCUGGAGAAGGGUGUGUCUAAUGACCCAGGUGGGAAACUGAGCACUCACAGAAUGUGACCACAAAAAACGAUGUCGAAGCCAGGCACAGUGGCUCAUGCCUGUAACCCCAGCACUUUGGGAAGGCAAGGUGGGCAGAUCACAAGGUCCGGAGUUCAGAACCAGCCCGGCCACCAUGGCGAAAUCCCAUCUCUACUGAAAAUACAAAAAUCAGCUGAGCAUGGUGGUGGCUGCCUGUAAUCCCAGCUACUCAGGAGAUUGAGACAGGAGAAUUGCUUGAACCCAGGAGGCAGAGGUUGCAGUGAGCCAAGACUGUGCCAUUGCUCUCCAGCCUGGGCAACAGAGCAAGACUCCAUCUCAAAAAAUAAAAAUAAAAAAAGAUAUAGGACAAAUGCUCAUCUUUGAAAAAGUGUGAAGGAGAGUGUUCUGACUACUUGAACUUAGGAGGUGGAAAGAGCAAUUUUAAGUAGAUAUGGAGGAACUGCUCAUGCAUCACACCCUCACUCCCCAGAAAUAGCAGACGCAAGCCCCCACUGGACACAGAGGGCAGGGUGGGGCCCAGUGAGCAGCAUGACACUGAUGAUGACGGUCAAGAGCCCGGUCUCUGAGAGCAGAAAUGAAUCUGCCUGCAAAAGAACUCCUUGCCCUUCAGCAAGAAGGGUACAUGGUGCCAUCAGAAAAAGAGGCAGGAGCCAAAGCGCUUAAUUACAUCAGUUCGUUCUGUAAAACGAAGAUGCUGGACCCUUCCCUGCCAAACGCAAAUGGAUGUUGAUAAUAAACCAAGAUAAGAUAAGUAUAGGGAAGAGGGCACAGUGUAUGAGAAGACACGGGAUCUGGUGCUACAACCAUGAUUUACUAGCUAUGCGACCUUGGGCAAAUCAUUUAAGUUUUCUGAGUCUAUUUGCUCUUCAAUAAGAUGAAGAUGGUAAUUCUGGGCAGGUAAAAAACAAACGAGAUACAAUGCAUGUAAAAGUCAUUGAUAGAUUAUAUAAAGUGCACCGCCAGGGUAAGGAACCAUGCUUAUUCUCCUUUAAAAAUGCAUGCGGAUGUCAUCAGUAAACUGCAACGAAAGGUUUAAGGAUGUUCAUCAAUGACUGGUUUCCAUGGUUACUUCCCCUGCCUUACACCCAGGCUGCUGGCCUGUUCCUGAAGUUUCUGCUGGGAUCCUGCUUGCCACCAGAAUAAGCCAGUGGCCAGAGGACCCCUGGAGCCCGCCUCUCCCUGGGCCAGCAUGGAGGCGAUACAUUUUUUGCAUUGACCCAGGAGAAAGCCCCAGCAACAAAGGCCAAUUUAAAUCACAAAUGUUCCUGCAGCAUAUUCCUGGGGCUACGCAAAGCACCACAGUCCCUCGGAGGGAAAAGGGAUGGGCUGGCUGAAUGGGAGCUGAAAUAUGCCCAUCCGGCCCAGGGAAUGUCAGAGUGCACCCCAGCUGACCACAUGAAACGGUCUCUAUGAAAUGCAGAUGUUUGGUAGGGUUGGGUGCUGCUUCCCUCGUAAUUUAAAAGCCUUCCAUGCCUGCUGCUUACUUCCAGACUUCUUCCUCCCACACUGUUUGGCUCAGUGGGUUCGAGAGGGUGUUUUGGGGUGUCUAGAUAACAGUGCACUGUGGUGGGGUUUAUUAACAUCAGCUGUU